rnacentral:piRNA from 1 species
UGCACUGGAACGAUGGUGAUGGAUGAU